rnacentral:lncRNA from 1 species
GUAAACUGGAAAAACAAAAGUCACGGGCACCAGACCUACCAAUGGCACUGGCGAAGUCAAAUAAGAUAAAAACCCAGGAAAAGCUGGAACCAGACCUGGAAGACUAUACCUCAGCCUUGAAAGCGCUGACCAUGCUCUCCAAAAAAAGGUGCUGGCACCAGACCUGUGAGCAGCAGAGACCACGAGAGGACGGUGACACUGGCAGUCCCAGCAGAGAGAAACCUGGCUGGCUGACGAGCAACCCAGUGAGCAGGGCCAUGCAGGGGAGGGCAGGGAACAGCAGCUGGGCAUGCGGCUGCUUCUUUGUUGCUUCCCGUCUUCCUUGCAGACAAACAACCAGGCAAGGCUGGAACCAGACCUGGAAGACUAUACCUCAGCCUUGACAGCGCUGACCAUGCUCUUCAAAAAAAGGUGCAGGCAACAGACCUGUGAGCAGCAGGGACCACGACAGGAUGGUGACACUGGCAGCCCCAACAGUGAAACCUGGCUGGCAGACGAGCAACCCAGUGAGCAGGGCCAUGCAGGGAAGGGAAGGGAACAACAGCAAAGGUUGCGGUUGCUUCCUUGUUAUUUCCUCUCUACCUUGCAGGUGGAUGUACAGACAU